CGAAGGUGCACCCAAUACAGCAGCAGGCGGCAUCUCAGGAUUAGAGGCCAGCUUUCUGGAGCCAGCCACUGUGGUUGCAGAUCCCCAGAGAUCAUUCUAGAUGCCAUAUAUGCAGUGGCUUGGAGGAGCCGGUGGUCUUUUUGGGAGAUGCUGAAGCCUGAACCCGAAUGAGGGGAGAUGCAAGGUUCUGGACAAGUGGGGAUGACAGGGUCUGCUGUAAGGACCUGAGCAGGUUGGGAAGGCUUCGGUGAAGUAAGUCAGG